AGCGAACGCUGGCGGCAGGCCUAACACAUGCAAGUCGAACGGAUCCUUCGGGAUUAGUGGCGGACGGGUGAGUAACACGUGGGAACGUGCCCUUUGGUUCGGAACAACUCAGGGAAACUUGAGCUAAUACCGGAUGUGCCCUUCGGGGGAAAGAUUUAUCGCCAUUGGAGCGGCCCGCGUCUGAUUAGCUAGUUGGUGAGGUAAAGGCUCACCAAGGCGACGAUCAGUAGCUGGUCUGAGAGGAUGAGCAGCCACAUUGGGACUGAGACACGGCCCAAACUCCUACGGGAGGCAGCAGUGGGGAAUCUUGCGCAAUGGGCGAAAGCCUGACGCAGCCAUGCCGCGUGAAUGAUGAAGGUCUUAGGAUUGUAAAAUUCUUUCACCGGGGACGAUAAUGACGGUACCCGGAGAAGAAGCCCCGGCUAACUUCGUGCCAGCAGCCGCCGUAAAAC
rnacentral:rRNA from 1 species